GUUUAGCUGAUGAGUUCCAAACAGAACGAAACUCGUGUCCUAAAU
rnacentral:hammerhead_ribozyme from 1 species